rnacentral:rRNA from 1 species
AACGUAGGUGGCAAGCGUUGUCCGGAAUUACUGGGUGUAAAGGGAGCGCAGGAGGGCUGGCAAGUCGAAUGUGAAAUGCAGAGGCUCAACCUCUGAACUGCGUUCGAUACUGUUGGUCUUGAGUGAUGUAGAGGUAGGCGGAAUUCCCGGUGUAGCGGUGGAAUGCGUAGAUAUCGGGAGGAACACCAGUGGCGAAGGCGGCCUACUGGGCAUAGACUGACUCUGAGGCUCGAAAGCGUGGGGAGCAAAC